rnacentral:rRNA from 1 species
CGUCGCCGCGGGAACACGUAGGGGGCAAGCGUUAUCCGGAAUAACUGGGCGUAAAGGGUGCGCAGGUGGUUUAACAAGUUAGUGGUGAAAGGCAUAGGCUCAACCAAUGUAAGCCAUUAAAACUGUUUAACUUGAGUGCAGGAGAGGAAAGUGGAAUUCCUAGUGUAGCGGUGAAAUGCGUAGAUAUUAGGAAGAACACCAGAGGCGAAGGCGACUUUCUGGACGAAAACUGACGCUGAGGCGCGAAAGCCAGGGGAGCGAACGGGAUUAGAUACCCCGGUAGUCCCUGUCUCUUAUACAC